AAACAUAAGAAAAAAUUGUUUGGAUCUAAGGCUAGGUAACGAGUUCUUAGACAUAAAACCAAAAGCACAAACAGAAAAGAAACAUUCUGAUAAACCAGAUUUCAUCAAAGUUUUAAAAAUUUUGUUCUAAAAGAUACUGUUAAAGGACGAAAACACAAACUACAUAUUAGAGAAAAUGUUUGCAAAUCACAUAUCUGAUGAAACAACAAAUAUUUCUCAAAAUUAAACAUUAAAAAAAAUACAAUUAGAAAAUGGGCAAAUGAGAUGAACAGGUACAUCACUAAUGAGAAUAUAAGGAUGUUGAAUAAGCCCACAGUCAAUCUCUAACUAUUAAGGAAGUGCAAAUUAACACUAUAAUGAAAUAUCUCAACACUAAUUAGAAUAACUAAAUUUAAAAAUAAUAAUAGAAAUAUAAAAUCUGGCAAGGUCUUAAAGAGACAACCUCUCAAACAUUGCUAGUGGGAAAUUACAAUGGUACAGUCACUCUGGAAAAUAUUAUGGCAGUUUCUUAAAAAUAAAUAAGUAAAUAAAUACACAUGCAACUGCCAUCUGAUCCAGCAAUUACACUCCUGGGCAUUUAUCCCAGGGAAAUGAAAAUUAUAUCCACCCAAAUAUCUGUACACAAUUGAUUAUAAUAGCUUUAUUUUUAAUAGUCAAGACCUGAAAAUAGCUCAGUAUCUCUCAAAAAUUGAAUGGUUAAACAAAUUUACUUAAGGAGACCUUAUAAAUUAUACCAAAUCAUAAUUUAGUAUAAUUCUAAUUUAAUAUAAGAUAUGUCAAAUUUAUAAAUGGAGGUUUAUUUAAAAAUCCAUAUCAUGAAAUUUUACAUAACAAUAAAAGUGAAUUAUUAAUGCACUCAACAACUUUGAUGGAUUUCAAGGUCAUUAUGCUAAAAAAGGAAAGCCAAUUUCUAAGGUUAUGUGUUACCAUUUAUGUAAUAUUUUGAAAUGACAGAAUUAUAGAGAACAGGAUGGUGUCAAGGGGUUAAGGGAGAGGUGUGUAUAUAUAUAACCUUUGUAGUAACAGAAUAGCUCUGUAUCUUGAUUGCUUGCAGUAGCGGUUACAAGAAUCUACAUAUGUCAUAAGGUGACAUGAAACUAUAUACACACAAUGUCAAUUUCUUACUUUCAAUAUUGUACUCUAAUUAUGUAAGAUAUAAUCACUGGAGAAAACUGAGGGAAGGAUAAGCUGGACAUCCCUGUACUAUCUUUGUAACUUUCUGUUAGUUUAUAUUUAUUCCAAAAUAAAAAGUAUGAAAAUCUGAGUAAUCCAUUAGAAGCUAGGAUUAACUGAGGAGAGUCUGGUAAGGGGGCAAAAAUCAAAGUGUGAGCAGGAGCUGUAGGCAAUGAAUUGUGCUGGAUAGUAUAUUAGCUUCCUUGAGCUGCUCUAACAAAGUACCACAAAUUGUGUGGCUUCAGACAGAAAGUUAUUGUCUCUGGAAGUUAAGCUUCCAGUUAUGGAGGCUUAAAAUCUGAAGUCAAGGUGACAGCAGGGCUAUGAUUCCUUCCUUGCUUUUUCCAGUUCUAGUGGUGGCUACACUCCUUCUCACUCCUUGGCUUACAGGUGCCUCACUCCAACUGCUGCUUCUCUUGUCACAUAGCCUUUUCCCCCUUUAUGUGUGUCUUUGUCUUCAUAAGUCACAUGUCUUCCCACUGGGCACACCCUACUUCACAUGCUGUCAUCUUAAUAAUCACAUCUGCAAAGAAUAUUUCCAAACAAGGUCACAUUUUGAGGUUCCAGAUGGGCAGAAAUUUGUGGGGAGUCACUAUUAAACCCGGUACAGAUGGACAACAAAAUAACACAUGAGGUCUCUGGAUGGGUUGGUGCCAAUUGAAGAGAAAAUAAUGAAGACAUGGAUAGAGCACAAUGACAAUAAAACCUUGACACAAAGUGAAGUAUAGGGAGCACGGAGCCCUGAGAGAUAAUGCUACAAUUUGCUAUAUUACCUGCUUUUCCCUUAUACCAUCAAAGCACUCUCUUUAUCCCCAUUUUCUAAAAGUAAGCAAUCAGUUGAGACACAGAAA
rnacentral:lncRNA from 1 species